rnacentral:lncRNA from 1 species
AUGUCGGCGGUGUGGACGGUCCGGAGCCGGGGGACCCAGAGGCAGUGCAAGGGGGCAGGAGGCUGCUGGGAAUACCGGGGAGGGGGUUUCUCCCACCGUGACCUCUUAAGAGCGGCUUUGGGACGGGGGUUGACACUAGGCAGCCCCUAUCCUGUCCGCCCCGCAUCGGGGUGCACAGGGCCCUUUAAAGUCAAAUUAUACCCGAAAGUGACCCCCAGCAUCCCAUGUUCCGAGGCCACCACCGGCCCAGCUCCAAAGCCCCGAAUGGACCAAGCACCACAUUGGCCACAAGCUGCCUCUCGAAGCCUGCGCACGGCCCGCGGCCCCAGGAAGCCCUCCUUCCCCAUGCCCCCAGGGGCCUCCAGCCCUUCAGGACCGCCUCUCACCCCCUGCCUCCCUCCCCUCGUUUUUCACAUUCAGGGCCUCCGGCAGCAUUUGGACCCUCGCAGGGCGGGUGCGGGUUGGAGGCCGAGAGCCUGCGGGUCCCGGGCGGUGGCCUGGGGAGAUGCCCUGGGGAAGGACGCGGAAAGGCCCUCGCCAGGCACAGGGCCCAGGUCAAGAUGCCCACCUGGCAGGCCCCAGGGAAGGGACUCAGUGGUAGGGAUCGAUGCCCCAUGGCGAUGGCAGGUCACCCAAGGUCCUGCCGCCCAUCCUGGUGGGCUUGGUCGUGAGGCGGAGGGAGGGACGAGUGUUUGGCACCGGGCACCGGUAGGGCCUUGGCUGCAGGAGCCCUCUGCUCGCAGUGCCCCCGGGGACGCCCAACAGACCGCAGCGGACGACUGUCCGCUCAGGAGACCCCAGAAGACAGUGAGGGACAGCCCCCCUAACGGAGAGAGCUGGACGGGUGCCCAGCCCUGCCCAGGCGGGGACACGCAGCUCAGCGGGAGGGCCCCCCCCAGAGGAGCGGGGAGCCAGGCCCGGGGGACACCCAGGCAAGGGAGGGGGGCAGCGGUGAACAGGGGUGGGCUCCAGAGGGUGUGCAGUGUGGCCCUCGGCAGAGUCCCACUGAGGUCAGGUCUGCCGUCCACACCUCGGGGCCCAGGACCCCAGGCAGGGCCCCGGGGCCCGAUGCGCAGCAGGAGGGGGCAGCGGUGGGGGGCUGUGGCUCGGGGCCCAGCUCACAGCCCUCCUUCCUGA